UACAGAGGUGGCAAGCGUUGUUUGGAAUUACUGGGCGUAAAGGGCGCGUAGGCGGCCUUCUAAGUCAGACGUGAAAUCCCCCGGCUUAACCUGGGAACUGCGUCUGAUACUGGGAGGCUUGAGUAUGGGAGAGGAGAGUGGAAUUCCUGGUGUAGCGGUGAAAUGCGCAGAUAUCAGGAAGAACACCCGUGGCGAAAGCGGCUCUCUGGAACGGUACUGACGCUGAGACGCGAAAGCGUGGGGAGCGAACAGG
rnacentral:rRNA from 1 species